AACGAACGCUGGCGGCAUGCCUAACACAUGCAAGUCGAACGAAGUCUUCGGACUUAGUGGCGCACGGGUGCGUAACGCGUGGGAAUCUGCCCUUGGGUGCGGAAUAACUUCUCGAAAGGGAUGCUAAUACCGCAUAAUGUCGUAAGACCAAAGAUUUAUCGCCCAAGGAUGAGCCCGCGUAAGAUUAGCUAGUUGGUGGGGUAAAAGCCUACCAAGGCGACGAUCUUUAGCUGGUCUGAGAGGAUGAUCAGCCACACUGGGACUGAGACACGGCCCAGACUCCUACGGGAGGCAGCAGUGGGGAAUAUUGGACAAUGGGCGAAAGCCUGAUCCAGCAAUGCCGCGUGAGUGAUGAAGGCCCUAGGGUUGUAAAGCUCUUUUACCCGAGAUGAUAAUGACAGUAUCGGGAGAAUAAGCUCGGCUAACUCCGUGCCAGCAGCCGACGGUAA
rnacentral:rRNA from 1 species